AGCGAAAUAAUAGUAGCGAAGUUCCUGAUGUCACACUGCCAAGAAAAGCUUCUAGUGAGAAAACAACUGCCCGUACCGUAAACCGACACAGGUAGUCGAGGAGAGUAUCCUAAGGUGAGCGAGCGAACUCUCGUUAAGGAACUCGGCAAAAUGACCCCGUAACUUCGGGAGAAGGGGUGCUGACUUCGGUCAGCCGCAGUGAAUAGGCCCAAGCGACUGUUUAUCAAAAACACAGGUCUCUGCAAAAUCGUAAGAUGAAGUAUAGGGGCUGACGCCUGCCCGGUGCUGGAAGGUUAAGAGGAUGGGUUAGCUUCGGCGAAGCUCAGAAUUGAAGCCCCAGUAAACGGCGGCCGUAACUAUAACGGUCCUAAGGUAGCGAAAUUCCUUGUCGGGUAAGUUCCGACCCGCACGAAAGGCGUAACGAUUUGGGCACUGUCUCAACGAGAGACUCGGUGAAAUUUUAG
rnacentral:rRNA from 1 species